UCUGCCAACCUAGGGUUUCCCUAUCCAAUGACCUAGUUUAAUCAACAGUUGUGGGAGGCAAGGACGAAGCAGAGGGCGAUGCUCUUUGGAGGCAGUGCGGCUCAUUCCCUCCUCAGCCAAGCACAGGACUGGGCGAAUGAAUGGGUGAAUUAAUGAAUGAGUGGAUUAAUUAAUUACCUGGGUGAAUGGAGACGGGGGAGAAAUAUAAAAAGGAGCACAGAGAUGAAUGAAUUUUGUACAUGGAUGAAUGGAUGAGUGAGUGAAUAAAUACAUUAACGGAUAUGUGGGUGGAUUAAUGAAUACACAGAGAGAUGGGUAAAUGGAUAAAUAAGCUGAGAGAAAUGGACAGACAAGAGGCUGUAGCAUGUAAGUGCGAGGAGCAUGGACUCUAGAGCCAGUCUGCUUGGGGUUGAAUCCUGGCCCUGCCACUUAGUGUGUGUUCGGGGCAAAUUACUUAACCUUUCUGUGCCUCAACUGCCUAAUCUGUAAAAUGGAAAUGCUGAUAAUUGUAUCUAUUUCAUUGAUUGCUGUGAGAAGUAAUAUACAUAAAGUGCAUAGUACAGUGCCUCACACGUAGUAAGCAUUAUUAGACAUGGCUAUUCUUACGAAGGAGAGAAGGGUGGAUGGAUGGAUGGAUGGAUGGAUGGGCUUUCAGGUGAAUACGUGAGAGGCUAAAAAGUGGGUGCAGGGAAGGGAUCCAGCACCACAAGCUGAUGGGAGUUGGAGUUCCCCAUUUGGUUCUGGGGCCAAAGGGAAAGAGUCCAGAAGGGAUUCCAAAACGUCAGAGGUGGCUCCUGGGGACUCACCAUCUCCACCACUUCGACCUCCGCGGUGAUACGUAAAUGGUACAGAAAUGUGGUCAAAUCCUUCUUCAUCUGGAUGCUAUUGUCGUCCAUCUGGGCCACAGUGAAGAUUCGCAUCUUGCACUUCCGCCAGACCUGGAGUGGUGAAGGGGACCCAGAAAGGUCCAGCCCAGGACAUCUGCAAGGGGAGACACCUUCAGUUCCCAGCACCUCAGAAUUAAGGAGGGGAUUGGAGCCCUUUCCCAGGAGCUCACGUGGAGGAGCUUCCGGAGCCCAGAAACCCCGCCCAUGGAUGUGGGCACGAGCACACAAACGCGCGGACGCUCACUCACACACACGCAUGCGCACCUUGUGGUGCCGCAGCAGGAAGGGCAGCAGCAUGAGCAUGCCGCCGUCGUGCACAAUCCACCAGACGUCGAUGCUGCCCUCCGAGAAGCGCUCCGGGUUACCAGGAAACAUGGAAACGUUCUUGGUGACCAGCAGAGCCAGGUGACCGGCCGUGGUUUCCCGGACCAGCUCUGGAGGAGACCAAAGAGAUGGCCAGACGGCCUAUUGUGAAGAUAAGCAGCCGUCAAGGAAAACGAUCAGAAGUCCAGCCCCACAUAAGGAGCAUCUUCCGUGCGCCAAGCAGUGCAAUGCUUACAAGGGCCUAUGAGUGAUUCUAGUAUGAGGUCAAUUGUGUAAUACUAUGUCAUCCUGGGCAGAUAUCUCAAACUAUUAGAACCUCAGUGUCUCCAUCUGAAAAAUGGGGGUUCUGGCCUCAUCGUGUAGUGAUGGUAUGCGGUGUGAGGAUCAAGAAAAGCAUUUUCUAACAAUGACGCUGUCUUCAAAUGGAAGAUGCUGCCUCAGUAGGUAGAGAGAGCCCUGUCCCAUCAGUGUGCAAGCAAAGGUACACUCAGAUGGGCCGUUGCUAAAGGACUUCAAGAAGCAGAUGAAAGAUUAUCCUGAAUGACCUGCCGAAUCCCUUGCAAUCUUGUGGGAGGUCUGCGAUGAAAUGAAAUGAGA